AGGAUAAACGCUGGCGGCGUGCCUAACACAUGCAAGUCGAACGCGCUUUCGGGCUUCGGUGCGAGAGCGAGUGGCGGACGGGUGAGUAACACAUGGGUACCUACCUUGGAGUGAGGGAUACCGGCGAGAAAUCGCCGACAAUACCGCAUAGGCUUCUUCACAAGGGAAGCAAAGUGACGCGAGUCACGCUGUGAGAUGGGCCUGUGGCCGAUUAGCUAGUUGGGGGGGUAACGGCUUCCCAAGGCGACGAUCGGUAGCUGGUCUGAGAGGACGAUCAGCCACACUGGGAUUGAGAACGGCCCAGACUCCUACGGGGGCAGCAGUGAGGAAUUUUCCGCAAUGGAGGCAACUCUGACGGAGCAACGCCGCGUGCAGGAGGAAGGUUUUCGGAUCGUAAACUGCUUUUCUCGGGGACGAGCAAGGACGGUACCCGAGGAAGAAGCCCGGCUAACUACGUGCCAGCAGCCGCGGU
rnacentral:rRNA from 1 species